UGCGGCUGCAGCUGAUCCUAACAGGCCUCUCUGGUUCCCAGGCAGCACUCCUCCUGAAUGGCUCGAUGGUAGCCUCCCCGGAGACUUCGGCUUCGAUCCUCUUGGUCUUGGUAAGAUAAAUGUAGAAAACUAAUCGUACGUCUCAAGUACGUGCACAUUGUUAAUUAGUUUGUUAUCCACAGGAUCUGAUCCUGAGACGCUGAGAUGGAACGUGCAAUCAGAAAUUGUGCACUGCAGAUGGGCAAUGUUAGGAGCUGCAGGAAUUUUCAUUCCGGAAUUGUUAACAAAACUUGGAAUCCUCAACACUCCAUCCUGGUACACAGCUGGGGAGCUAGAGUACUUCACAGACACCACCACCCUGUUCAUUGUUGAGAUGAUAUUCAUAGGCUGGGCAGAGGGCAGACGGUGGGCCGACAUUAUAAAGCCAGGCUGUGUGAACACUGACCCGAUCUUCCCCAACAACAAGCUCACCGGCACCGAUGUUGGGUACCCAGGUGGGCUUUGGUUUGACCCACUUGGCUGGGGAUCCGGUUCGCCCGAGAAGGUAAAGGAGCUGAGGACUAAGGAGAUCAAGAAUGGAAGAUUGGCUAUGUUGGCUGUGAUGGGUGCUUGGUUCCAGCACAUUUACACCGGCACCGGCCCCAUUGACAAUCUCAUUGCUCACCUUGCUGAUCCUGGUCAUGCCACCGUUUUUGCUG
rnacentral:lncRNA from 1 species